CUUGCUAGCUGGGUGUAAUAGGCUUAGCUUUCCACGACCACACAUCUGAAAGAGUGGGAAUGGAAAACAUAGAUUUCGGGAAGAGAGAGAGAGAGGCAGGGGAGGAGGAAGACCAAGGGACUGCUGGAGUGCUGGGUUUAGGGCUCCGGUUUAUAUCACUUUCCUCGGUCUCUUUCCACCGUCGAAAUCAAACACCACCGCCGCCAGUUGUUUGAAGCCAGGAAACGACUGAUUAUGAGCUAUUAAAAGGCACACCCGGUUCGUUUUCUUGAAUGGCGCCAUCAUCCUCUGACCUCUGUAUGUUCUUAUGGAAAUCAGAGACAUGAAGCUUAAGUAAAUCGAUGAGGCUUACAACCUGCUGCGUAUUUAUCUCAGCAUCAUGUUAUCAAAAACGACUACCAGAUUGGAUUCUACAUCUCUGUACCUAAGAGUUUGAGGGUGCCUGUUGAUAGCCAUACUCGCUGCAGUUGUCGGAAGUCAAGCCAUAAUUACGGGGACCUUUUCAAUUAUAAAACAAGGUUCUCUCGGAUGCUUUCCCAGGGUCAAAAUAGUCCAUACCAAUUCAAAAUUUCACGGGCAAAUAUAUAUCCCAGAGAUCAACUGGAUCUUGAUGACGUUAUGCUUAGCCAUUACCAUCGGAUUUAGAGAUACUAAACGCAUGGGUAAUGCUUCAGGUAUGGUGUUUUAAGGAAACAUUUAAACAGUUUGUUAAAUGGUUAAGAUAUGUUUAACUGAUUUCAUUGUAUCGUACUAUCGUGAUCUGGUUUGGCGGUUAUAACGGUUAUGUUGGUUACAACUUGCUUGAUUGAUGUCUCUUAUCAUCGUCUUUUGCUGGCACCAAAGUGUUUUUCUUGCAAUCGGUUUUGUGGUGUUUUUUGAGAUGAUUGAAGCGUUGUACCUUUCGGCUUCUUUUAUCAAGUUUCUAGAAGGUGCGUGGGUCCCGAUAGCACUCUCGCUCAUUUUCAUUCUUGUGAUGUACGUGUGGCACUAUGGUACACUUAAAAAGUAUGAUUUUGAUGUCCAAAACAAAGUAUCGGUUGAUUGGCUACUGAGUCUUAUGAUUUGUAUACAUAAGACUAAACUUGCAUGUGAUUAGUAUACAUGACAUCAUCAUCAUGAUGUCAUCAUGAUGUCAUCAUGAUGAUGUCAUUCUCGUAUCUCAUCAUAUCGUGUCUUCAUUCUUGUAACGCGAAUGCCGGGCCAUACGGAGAAACGUCGUCAACUUCGGUCUCCAACCGAGCCGAACUGGGCCAAGCCGAACCGAACCAAGCCACAUCCACACAAAACCGCAUCAACAAUGUGCAUGUGGCAUGGCAUCUGCCUUCUCCUUUCAAGGCGGCGUUCCUGUAGAAAUAAGUAACUCAAUUAGACUUGUCAAAAUGGACAGACAGGUUGACCAAAAGAUGUUAGGGGCUUCACAUGAUUUGAAUCUUGUGCAAUAAUAGUUACUGUAAAGAAGUAAAUUAUAAAAAUUUCGACACUAAGUGUUACGAUGAGGAGUAGUAGCUGCAACAGCAAGAGCGUCAACAUGACCACGUGCAUGGCGGGGAGCCAAGGUCUUGCCCAAUGACAAGCUAGAUUUCUUGGAUGCACCUGUUCCUUUUAUAGUUGGUGUGAAGAGCAAAACUGCCAAAGUACAAUCCAAGUCGGGAAACGUUAUAUAUGUUGAUGUUAAGAAUAACCAGGUCAAAUCAUUGUCAAUACCACAUUUCCCUCAGUACAAAGAGUUAUAUGCAGCCUUAACUCCUUAUCAUGCUCAACUGGUCGGAGAAAGUUAUUUAGGAUUUUACGGAAAAAGAGACCGGUUUCUGAAUGCACAGAUGUGCAGGUCAUCGGCACCACCAUUUAACUCAAGUGACACCAGAUCAACAUGGAGCUACAAGGGUGCCACCAGGGAAUCAAAGAGUGGCCGGCAUGGUUCAACUGCCUGGAUCAAGGCUACCAGACUGUACUCACACUUGCGGCUCAUGUUCUCGACGUGAAAACCAUGCUUUGUUUAAAUAAUGUAGGUGCUCAGUAAUUGAUUAUCUGAAUUGAUCAAUGCCGACAAAAGGAAGGGAUACUAGCGUGAAGGAGGGACGCGGGCGAUCUCCUCUGUUCAUGUUAUUUUUUAGCGUUUUUAGUUUCAGUUUUGUGUUUGUUUAUGUUCUUUUUUAGCGUUUAUUUUAAUUCUGUGUUAAA